rnacentral:rRNA from 1 species
UAGGGAAUCUUCGGCAAUGGACGAAAGUCUGACCGAGCAACGCCGCGUGAGUGAAGAAGGUUUUCGGAUCGUAAAACUCUGUUGUUAGAGAAGAACAAGGACGUUAGUAACUGAACGUCCCCUGACGGUAUCUAACCAGAAAGCCACGGCUAACUACGUGCCAGCAGCCGCGGUAAUACGUAGGUGGCAAGCGUUGUCCGGAUUUAUUGGGCGUAAAGCGAGCGCAGGCGGUUUCUUAAGUCUGAUGUGAAAGCCCCCGGCUCAACCGGGGAGGGUCAUUGGAAACUGGGAGACUUGAGUGCAGAAGAGGAGAGUGGAAUUCCAUGUGUAGCUGUGAAAUGCGUAGAUAUAUGGAGGAACACCAGUGGCGAAGGCGGCUCUCUGGUCUGUAACUGACACUGAGGCUCGAAAGCGUGGGGAGCAAACAGG